GCGCGGCGGCUUCACUUUCAUGACGUCAUGAGCAAUCCAGUUCUAUAUUAUAGAUCAGUGGUUUAUACAUGUAAAUUCUGCGUGACUGUGACGUGUUUAAAUGGGCGUGUGUGCUGAACAUUCGAGUCUCAUUCAAACACUGGAGCGGAGGGAGUUGCCACAGAAACGGAGCGCCAACACAACAACUGACAAGCCGGGAAUCACUGACUUUUGCUGCUGUUUUCAAUAGCUUUCGGAGAGAAAAAAAAACCUCAGCAACAGGGGAAGCUCCAAGAUUUCACAAUUUCUGAAGGCAGAAGAACUGGGAAAGCUUCUUAAAUUUUUAAGAGGGCUUUGACAUCCAUAAAUUCUUCAGUGCUAAUGGCCUCCUGCAUCCCAGAGUCCUGUCAGACAACAUCUACAAAGAACAGUGAACCAUAUAGCCAAUAACUUAACCUCAAAUAUACACUAUUGUUCAAAAUUCAGUAAGAUAUUUUAUGUUUUUGAAAAGACAUCUCAUGC